rnacentral:tRNA from 2 species
GGAGGAGUGGCUGAGUGGUCGAAAGCGGCGGUCUUGAAAACCGUUGUGGGGCAACCCACCGUGGGUUCGAAUCCUACCUCCUCCGCCA